rnacentral:rRNA from 1 species
CCUACGGGAGGCAGCAGUGGGGAAUAUUGCGCAAUGGGCGAAAGCCUGACGCAGCGACGCCGCGUGAGGGAUGAAGGUCUUCGGAUCGUACACCUCUGUCAGCAGGGAAGAACGGUCACUGUGCUAAUCAGCAGUGAAUUGACGGUACCUGCAAAGGAAGCACCGGCUAACUCCGUGCCAGCAGCCGCGGUAAGACGGAGGGUGCGGGCGUUAAUCGGAAUUACUGGGCGUAAAGCGCUCGUAGGCGGUAUGUCAAGUCAAGGGUGAAAUCCCCUCGCGCAACGUGGGAACUGCAUUGGAAACUGGCAAACUGGAGUGUGUGAGAGGAUAGUGGAAUUCCAGGUGUAGGAGUGAAAUCCGUAGAUAUCUGGAGGAACAUCAGUGGCGAAGGCGACUAUCUGGCACAUAACUGACGCUGAGGAGCGAAAGCGUGGGUAGCAAACAGGAUUAGAUACCCCAGUAGUC